rnacentral:tRNA from 1 species
UAGGUAGUCCUCUUGGUAAACCAAGCUUCUAACUUGGUGACGGGCGUUAAGAUCGUCCCUACCUAU